CCUCGGGCGGCAGCAGUGGGGAAUAUUGCACAAUGGGCGCAAGCCUGAUGCAGCCAUGCCGCGUGUAUGAAGAAGGCCUUCGGGUUGUAAAGUACUUUCAGCGGGGAGGAAGGGAGUAAAGUUAAUACCUUUGCUCAUUGACGUUACCCGCAGAAGAAGCACCGGCUAACGCCGUGCCAGCAGCCGCGGUAAUACGGAGGGUACAAGCGUUAAUCGGAAUUACUGGGCGUAAAGCGCACGCAGGCGGUUUGUUAAGUCAGAUGUGAAAUCCCCGGGCUCAACCUGGGAACUGCAUCUGAUACUGGCAAGCUUGAGUCUCGUAGAGGGGGGUAGAAUUCCAGGUGUAGCGGUGAAAUGCGUAGAGAUCUGGAGGAAUACCGGUGGCGAAGGCGGCCCCCUGGACGAAGACUGACGCUCAGGUGCGAAAGCGUGGGGAGCAAACAGGAUUAGAUACCCUGGUAGUC
rnacentral:rRNA from 1 species